rnacentral:rRNA from 1 species
UACAGAGGUCCCAAGCGUUGUUCGGAUUUAUUGGGCGUAAAGGGUGCGUAGGCGGCGGAGUAAGUUGGGUGUGAAAUCCCGGGGCUCAACCUCGGAAUUGCAUUCAAUACUGCUUCGCUCGAGUACUGGAGAGGAGACUGGAAUUUACGGUGUAGCAGUGAAAUGCGUAGAUAUCAAGAGGAACACCAGUGGCGAAGGCGAGUCCCUGGACGAUACCUGACACUGAGGCACGAAAGCUAGGGGAGCAAACAGG